rnacentral:tRNA from 1 species
GGAGGGCUCAGUGGUAGGAUGUGUGCUUAACAUGUACGAGGUCCUGGGUUCAAUCCCCAGUACCUCCA